rnacentral:lncRNA from 1 species
UAGGAAGGUUUUACAUUCCAUUGUAGGACAUUGCAGUGAAGAUUUGACUGCAUUCACCCUUAAAACUUGAUGAAGCUCCAUCAACCUGGAGAAUCUGCUCCAGUGAAGGGGUUUAUCCAGCCAAUUGUCCCAUACAUUCAGCUGUAUAUGCCUCAACACAAGGAGAGUGAAGACACAUUCUUCCUCCGACACAUCAGACUCCGCCUCUUUUCCAACUACUGCUGAUGCAGCAUUGCCGUCUAGCAUCGCAUCAGGUUUGGAGGACAGCACAGCGACUACAUCAGCUCACAGACGCCUUGUGCUGAUCGGCAUAACCCUGGGAGUAAAUAGGGGAAAGAGCGCCAUCUACACACCCAGAGAGACCAAGGACUGGCGAGCUCUGGCUAGCUUUUGUUUACAUAUCGCUCAGCGUGACUUUAGUUUCCGCCCCUUCUCGUUUUUCCGCCUAUUCUUGGGCUCCCUAUCUCCUUAUAAGGGCGUUUUUUUUCCGCCCGUGUCUCAAUUCACUAGUCGGGGCAGUGGUAGUGUAUUGGACCGUGACCUUGACGACACGGGUUUGAUCCCACGUGAGGAGCAGUGAGCUUAUAACAUUUUUUUCUUUCUUUCUUCUUGGGUUUACCUGCUUUGAGAUUAACUGUUCUGCAAUUGGGUUUAGCAACCAUCUGGGCUGGAGAGCUACUAGUCUGUAUCACUCCAUCCCAUUACACUUCAUUUUCCAAAACAGAUAUUUUUUGUGGCCCUCCACAUAAUGGCUUGAAUAGUUAGUACACAAUUGGGAAGCACCCCAUGACUCUCUUGGUGUGAAGAUGCUUUGGUGAACUCUGAGCUCUUAUCAGUAUUGCUGCGAGAUUGCAGGGCUUGUAACACAGUAUCGUGUCAGGAAUCAGCCCUGAAUACACUCCUGACAUCAGCGGCCGGGCUCCCCGUUACACAUUCCCUUUAGUGAAGGCCUUCCAUCAGCCCAUGCAAAUUUGAUUACUCAUUUAGUGGACUCUCUUGCUCUAUUUUCCUCAAAAAUGGAAGGUGCGGAGCGAAGGAUUUGUCUGUUCAAAAAAACAUUAAGCAGCAUAGCAAAUCGCUCUCCGUCAUUACAGCCGAGUCUCGGAGCCGAGCGCAUGAAUAAUUACUGCCUGAUAGGCUGCAUGCUCUGCGCUUCCUUGCUGCCAGAUAGACAUGUAUGAAAUGUGAUCUGUGUGACACCAGCUUUUACUGCACAUUAUUAUUAUGAAUAUAUUUUUCAUGCUCUUCUGAGAGGCUUUACAUGUUCUCUUGACUCAUGAGUGAUGACUGAUUUGACCUUCUGUCAGGUUUUCUCCCGCAAGUCACAGUCAGAACCCACCCAGAUGACCACCAACAUGAUAGGCGUUGUUAUCUGGUUGAAUGCUGCUCGUGAUUCUAAGUCACCAAAAUCGAUUCAACAUUAAGACAACGUUUAAUGUCUAAAUAAUACCAGCAGCAGCUGAUAUUUUAGACAUUUAUAUUUUAGAUGUAAUUUUAAGGAAUUAAACGUCACCUGCCAACAUCAUAUUGACAUAAACACCAACAUAAUGUUUUAAGUCGAGUUGACCAAAACCCAAAGC